rnacentral:lncRNA from 1 species
CAUGUACGUGCCUAGGAAGUCUCAGGAAUGGGUAAGUGCUCCUGCUCCCACACAGUCUACAGACCUGGGUGCAAUGGUGAGAAAGACCUCAGUAAAGCAAAGGAAUUACGAAAGGGAGAGGGAAAACCAAGUUGAAUGAGUUGGAGACUCCAUAGAGAUGGGCUUCUAGAAUAAAAUGGCACUGACUUAGCUGAAGGACUGAAAAAGGAAGCUGAACUUGCAACAUGUGAGAACAUUUUGUGCAAAGGAGACAACCUGGAGCUCCAGAGGACCUACACUCAGUGAAUGGGCUUGGUCCUACAUCCAAAUAUACAUGAGGACAUGCAGAGAAAUGUUCAAGUAUAUAGGUAUCAUUUUUGUGGUUCCCUAUUUUAACUUAUUUAAAAAUGUAGUAACAGUAUUUUUAACAUAGGCAAAAGGAGAGAAAAUAAUGUAUUUCCAUAUACUCAAACUAGGUUAAACAGUUACAAAGAUUUUUGACACAUUUGCUUCAUCUAUCCCAUAUUUUAUUUCUCUCUCAAGUAUUUUAAUGCAAAUUCUUGAAAACAAUCACCCCUACAGACGUCAGCAGACAUCUGCAGAAAUAUUUUAAGCCAGCUUUUGAUUGCUGACCAACCUGUGGUACAGGUAACAGGACUCCUACUGGGUACCAAGUCAUUCACCUACAGGCCUACCUUUCCCCUCUCUUUGCUUCAACCCAGAAGACCUCAAGGCAAAUAAACUGAUUCCUGGAUCCUGAGUGGUUCCUGGUUCACGUGGAAGGACAUCUCUGAAGCUUCAACUCAGUGAUUUACUUCCCCAAACCUAUUCCUUUCAUCCUUACAAUGAAACCACCUGUGUAACAACCCGAUUCUUUGAACGUUUUCUGGGAGUCCAGAGCAAGCCGAAACUUUCAGUGAACAUCCUAAGGCAAUCUGUAUUGAACCAGGUUCACUCCAAAAACCCAGUUGGGGCCAUUUCUCAAGGAGCUCAGAACAACCCGAGGAAUGGAUUCAUGGGCUGUCCUAAAGUAGCCUUACUCACAGGUAUCAGAGAAUUCACUUGCUUCUAGGCCCUUGGAUUGCUUUAAUUCUUUCAAUUUUCUUUUGUUCAACAACAUAAAAAAUAUAUUCUACUUAUUGCAAUUUUUACAUGUCACAUUCUGAAUAUUAUCCUGUACCAGUGGCUUCUUGGUUGUUAUAUAACUUGUUUGGUAAAGUUAUGCUGACAGCUUUAAUGAGGCGAUGUCAUGUGAUGCACGAAUUUCCCCUGGUGCUGAAUGUGGACAUUAGCAACUCAGUAUCGUGUGUUAGGGCAGUGGAGAAUCAGGGUGUAUCUAAUAAAUUCCUUCAUGGAGCUCUCAUGCCAUUAAGCAGAA